GACGAACGCUGGCGGCGUGCUUAACACAUGCAAGUCGAACGGAAAGGCCCUGCUUUUGUGGGGUGCUCGAGUGGCGAACGGGUGAGUAACACGUGAGUAACCUGCCCUUGACUUUGGGAUAACUUCAGGAGACUGGGGCUAAUACCGGAUAGGAGCUCCUGCUGCAUGGUGGGGGUUGGAAAGUUUCGGCGGUUGGGGAUGGACUCGCGGCUUAUCAGCUUGUUGGUGGGGUAGUGGCUUACCAAGGCUUUGACGGGUAGCCGGCCUGAGAGGGUGACCGGCCACAUUGGGACUGAGAUACGGCCCAGACUCCUACGGGAGGCAGCAGUGGGGAAUAUUGCACAAUGGGCGGAAGCCUGAUGCAGCAACGCCGCGUGCGGGAUGACGGCCUUCGGGUUGUAAACCGCUUUCGCCUGUGACGAAGCGUGAGUGACGGUAAUGGGUAAAGAAGCACCGGCUAGCUACGUG
rnacentral:rRNA from 1 species